rnacentral:misc_RNA from 1 species
GAUGAAGAACGCAGCGAAAUGCGAUAAGUAAUGUGAAUUGCAGAAUUCAGUGAAUCAUCGAAUCUUUGAACGCACAUUGCGCCCCUUGGUAUUCCGAGGGGCAUGCCUGUUCGAGCGUCAUUAUAACCCCUCAAGCUCAGCUUGGUGUUGGGGCCUGCUGCACUGGCAGCCCUUAAAAUCAGUGGCGGCGCCAUCUGGCUCUAAGCGUAGUAAUUCUUCUCGCUAUGGAGUCCUGGUGGAUGCUUGCCAUCAACCCCCAAUUUUACUAUGGUUGACCUCGGAUCAGGUAGGGAUACCCGCUGAACUUAAGCAUAUCAAUAAGCGGAGGA